GGAAAAGAUGUGAAAAUUAGAAAGGGGAUUUUAGGGUCAGAACAAAAAGGUCUCUUCUUCUUCUUCGCGAACGCGGCGCCGGCCGUUUGCUUUCUUCGUUCUCCGUCGCGACUUCAAACCUCCAUGCUCGCUUUCUUCGUUCCGUUUCUUCAUCCGUCGUGCUCAGCUCUCCUCCACGAUAUCACUCAACCUCUCCGUCUCUACUUCCGAAGCCGCUCACCACCGUCACUUCCUCGCCGCCGUCCGUCACUUCCUCGGCCUUCCACCACUCCGAUCUCCAGCGGCCAUGGCCCUCGCGUUCAGCAGCAACAACAUAAUGUCUCCCUCAAAUUUUAG